UUUGUUCCGAGCGGUGUCACCAAGUCGCUGCAGGAAGUCGAUACGAAACAGGGACAUGGGUCUUUUCCCAGCGGGUUCAUCAUGCCGCUGUGCUUGCUCGAGCUCGGACUUUGUCUUCUUCGUCUCAAGCUUCUCCAUGGCCGCUUCAACACUACCUCGUCAUCAAUCUGAGCUUCUCAUGUCUUCAGCUCGAGCAGUUGUUUGCUUCGUGAUCCAUCACCGAGGUUCUCAUCAAUCGCCGUGACUGGUUCUCUUCACCGCCGAAGCCAUCUCCACCGUUUUGCUCCACUACAGAGCCUCACGUUCAGGCCGUCUCAGCUCCUCCACCGUAAUCAUCAGCCACGACGAAGCUCCUGAACCAGACUCCUCACUUUGUUCCGCUUUGUUGCAAUCCACUACGGGAUCUCUGGCUCAAGUCGUCUCCUCUCCCGUGAUCAGCCGGCCUCAGCCAAGUCGUCGUCACCGUCGGGACUGAGCCUCACCGUCGAGACUCCUCAUCGGAAAGCUCUCAUGUAUAAGUCGUCUCCUCCUCCCCGUGAUCGGAUCUCCAGGCCGUGGUAUCCGCCUCCGCCGUCGUGAUUCAGAUCCGGAGAAAAGAAGUCGUGAGCUUCAAUGGUGGAUUUUGGAGUUAUUGCACAUCUGGCCCCUCGUCUUUCGGCAGUUUAUGAAUUGACCCCAAAACUAUCAAAUGUGCAGAAAGGUCCCUCUGAGUCAACCCCAAAGCUUUUGAUUGUGCAAUCUAACCCAAGGGAAUAUUCUGAAACUGCAACCUUGGUCCCUGAACUUUGGAUAACUUCAUAUUUGACCCCAGACUUCCAUAGUGUGCAGCUUAGCCCUUGAAUUUUGCCCUAAACUUCCAAAUGUGCAUUCCAACCCCUAUGAUAUGCAAAUAUUGAUGCAAAUGCAACAUAAAGACCUAAAUGCAACCUAGAAUGAACAUAAUAAGCUAAAAUAUGGAUCUAAAACUCAUCAAAAUCAAGAUAUAUCAACUCCCCCAAACUAGACCUUUACUUGUCCACAAGUAAACUUUAAAAACAAUCAAGAGGGAGAUAUUUAAAAUUGGGAACUUAUAACCAAAAGAAACACUUUCUAGCCUUCAAUAUGACAUCCCAAAGAAAACAUAGCAAAUAGCAUGAGCAACUCCCUUAUUAUACUCUAGCUUCUCUAGGCCUAUCCAUACUCUUAUGCCUCUACUCAAGUUGCAAUACUCAUCAACUAACAAGUUCCUUAGCCAACUCUCACAUUUAUUAAAACACACACACAAGGUGAAUUCUUGCAAAUGGGCACAUGAUCUCAAUCAUUUGGCUUGGUGAGUGAAAAUGGUCUAAUGUGAAGCGAGGGUUUUCAAAUGCAUCUUUUAUGGUGACUAACACUCAAGAAUAAGAGCAAGAACAUUAUGCAAAAUUUAUCUAAGAAAAUGAGCAAUUCAUGCAUACAAUGACUUGUUCUCAUCAUUCUACCCCUUUCCUAAAUGAUUUCAAGCUCUACCCUUCUUCUUUUCAUCAUCCCAAAACCCAAAGAUACACUCACUUUCAUCUUUCACCCAAUGAACACAUUCUCAUUUUUUUAUUUUAGCCAACUAGAGAUUCUUUUUUUUAUUCACUCAGCUCUUUUUUUUUCUUUUUCUUUUCAUGUUUUUUUUCUUUUAUUCUAUUGGGGAUUCUAUUUAUAAAAACAAGAGCUUCUUCUUUUUUUUUUUUUUAAAUCCCUAGUGGCUUUCUUUCUUUUUGUCACUCUUUUUGGUUCAUUUCUUUUCACUUUCACUCACAUCCCAAUCCCAAGAUCAAAAGAAUUUAAGCUCACAAACCCAACAACCAUCCUAGAGGCUAGCCUAAAUGAGGUCCUAAUGCUAGCUAAAGAUGAGAACAACUCAUUGUCGCUCCUAAUACUCUCAAAAUUUUGCACAUGACAUGCUAUCAAUAAAAGGCCUCACUCAAGCAAUUAAUGUUGGUUUCAAAGAAUGGUGAGGGUUAAUGGGUAUGGAAGUGCCAUUUGGGUUAACAAAGAUUGGUACAAAGAGAGAAAGAUAACCCAAAUGUGUAUAAUAUCCAUGAUCAAGUAUGCAAAUGUCCAUAUGCAAGAGAGAUUAAGUUCAUUAAGCCCUAGUUCAUUUGGAGUUGGUUUCAAGAACAAUGCCAAUCAUCAAGCAAACAACAUGUUUCAAGAAGAGUUUUCAAGGCUCGAAGCUUACAAGCUUUUUCAAGAGAUGCUUAAGCUACUUGAUAUGUUUAGUUAGGAUGUCAAAUUGAGUUCUAGACAUGUGUUCUUUACAAGGUUUCUCCCAAUGCAUGAAUGCAAUCUAAAUGCUUCUAGACUCAAUCCGAAAGAUGCAAAUGGAUCAAGUGAAACUACAUGAAGAUUUUUUAAAAAAAAUCAAAUUUUUAUGAAUUUUCUAUGCAAAUAAGUAUUCACAAUGCAAUGCAUGAGACUCAUGGCAAGUAAACAAAACAGAAAAUGAUGUGAGAUAGUAGACUCUCCCCCAAACUUACUUCACACAGUCCCUUGUGUGAGAGUAAGCUCAAAGAAGAGAUCCAAGGGAAAGAAAUAAACAUGAAAAGUAAAUAUGUACAAGGUUGGAGUGACACUUACUUGGAGUUAUUGGCUGAAUUGGGUGGUAGAGGACCCUUGGCCUCGGGUUUGUUUCACCAUGGACAUGGACUGAAGGGGAGAAGGCAAGUGUCUAGAGUCACAAUGCUUCACAUCAGCCAAGGCAAGUAAGACUUGACCUGAAAAAUCUCAACCAUGCUUAUUAAAUAACCUAAAAAGAGAAGAUAAAAAAAUAUAUACAAUGGAUAAACAUGGAAUUUCCUCCCAAGUGAGCUUGUUUUAAGUCUCUAUCUUGACUUUGUGUGCUUGUUAAUCAUAGGUAUCAAAAGGUUGAGCCAAUGCACCUUUGGUCCUUCUCUUACAAGAACAAGGAACCAAGUAUGCAAAGGAGCACACUACUAUCCAUAGAAAAUAGACAGAUUUUUCCUCAAAGAGCUUCACUAAAGAUGUGACAUGAAUUAUGAAAUGCUCCUUGAGGUUCAGAUGGUCAUGAGAAUCAAAUGCAUAUGGUGGAAACACACAGUCAACUACAGGCUCAAACAAGGUUUUAACAAAGUAGUCAACUCUAUCUCCAUCAAUCAAGUAAUACACAAUGCUCACAUUCUCAUGAUAAUUUUUGACAAGGGGGUUUUCUAUCCUAAGCAAGAGCAUAUCCACAUCAAGUUCAUCCCGUAAAUCAGCAAGUUCAAGAAGAGGUCUAGGUUCAUUAAGCAUCAAAAACUCAUACUCAAGAUCAAUUGAAGCACAAAGAUAGUUCUUGUCAAAACAAACUUCAAUAUGAUCUCUAGCAAGCUUUUCUAUUCUCAACUCAUCUAGCUUCCUAGUUUCACAUAUUAGAUCAAGACAUUCAUUUAUGAGCACAAGAGAAUCAAAGUCAUGGGCAAUAUUCUCACCACAAGGCAAGCAAAUUUCCUCAAGUUGAAGUUUUAGAGUGGAAAUGCUUGUACCUUCCAGCUGGGGUGGUGGAAACCAAUACAUUACCUCUUUAAGGUCAUAAGCAACAUUGAACUCAUACUGUGUAACCUCCCUUCCUUCAAGCUCUGCUCGAUCCUUAAUAAGCUCCACCCGGAUCCUUUGUGCUAGGGAUGUCUUUGCUGACCCCGGGUACUUCUUCUGAAGCUCAUUUAACUUCACAAGCUGUGCUGGUGUGAGUAUACUUGCAUCAAAGGGUGGUGGCUCCACAUACACAUAUGGCUCAUCUUCGAUGUGAUCUUCAAAUGUGUCUUCCUCUUCUUGUGGCUUCUCAAAGUAGCUUGAAGCCAUCACUGCAAGAACAAAAGCACUAGAAUAAAGAGUUAGUAACUAUACAAAGCAAAACAAAGCAAGAAAAUAAAGCUUAGUCUCAAGAAAGAUUGAAAUCCUAAUGAUAAAUCUACUAGUUCCCCGGCAACGGCGCCAAAUUGAUUACGCGUUUAAGCACACACCAAUUAACCUAAUGUGCCAACAAUACCACAAUCGAAUGGUAUGUCAUUGUAGCAUUUUAGGAUCGAAUCCACAAGGAACUAGUGACCUAUAACACCAAGAAUACACUAGCUUUCUUAAUCUAAGCAAACAAGAGGAUGAAUGAUUUGUAACAAGCUAAGAUCCUAGAAAUAUAAACAAGGUGAUCUCAAAUCCAAUCAAGAAAUAAGUGCAAGAACUUUCAAAUUCUAAGGAUGGAUUCAUGGGUAAGGAUAAUUGAUAUAAGGUGAUCAAGUUUCAAUCUAAAGGUGUCAACUUUCAACCAAUCUAUCUACCUUAGGCCUAGACACAAUCCUAAACAAACUCUAUCCCUAGAUGAAUGCUCAUUUACCUAGAUAACUCAAGCAUCAAAUCCCUUUGGUUGAAUGUUAUCUAAGUAAUCAUUAAUCUCAAGUCUACUAGCCAUCUUAACACCUUUAACAACAAAUCCCUUUGGUAAAGGAUGUUAAAAGCUUAGGAGAGUUGGUUCAGGCAUUUCAUCAAACACCUUCCGGGUAUGAAAUGCCUAGAGCUCAACUUUAGAGAGGCCAACUCUAGAGUUGCAUUAAAAGCACUCUACUAGCAAGGAACAAGAUGGAUCUAUACUAAAACACUUUAGAUCUAGCUUAAUCACCCUAAUCUACCUUAACCCAUGAAUCCAAAAUGUGUCUACUCAAUAAUCUCCAUGAGAAACCUUAAACCCAUGUAAGGAUCAAGGCUAAUCAUGUUAAUGAGCAAGAGAAACACAAUUAUAAGAUGAAGUACUUCCUUAAAUUAUAGAAAGAUUCAACGUUUUACAAGUUUAGACAAAGUCUUGAGAGAAAAUGAGAUAAAAAUAAAGUUUCUAGGUCUAAAACUAUAUAUAGGAGAUCCAAACUCGUGAUGGUUUAAUUGAAUUAAACCGGGUCAAACCGGAAUAAACCGGUCAACAGCUCAAAAUCUUGUCCGCGAGCGGCUUCUUUCUCCCGCUGCAGCAAGCCGCUACAGAGCUAGCUUUGUUCCGAGCGGUGUCACCAAGUCGCUGCAGGAAGUUGAUACGAAACAGGGACAUGGGUCUUUUCCCAGCGGGUUCAUCAUGCCGCUGUGCUUGCUCGAGCUCGGACUUUGUCUUCUUCGUCUCAAGCUUCUCCAUGGCCGCUUCAACACUACCUCGUCAUCAAUCUGAGCUUCUCAUGUCUUCAGCUCGAGCAGUUGUUUGCUUCGUGAUCCAUCACCGAGGUUCUCAUCAAUCGCCGUGACUGGUUCUCUUCACCGCCGAAGCCAUCUCCACCGUUUUGCUCCACUACAGAGCCUCACGUUCAGGCCGUCUCAGCUCCUCCACCGUAAUCAUCAGCCACGACGAAGCUCCUGAACCAGACUCGUCACUUUGUUCCGCUUCGUUGCAAUCCACUACGGGAUCUCUGGCUCAAGUCGUCUCCUCUCCCGUGAUCAGCCGGCCUCAGCCAAGUCGUCGUCACCGUCGGGACUGAGCCUCACCGUCGAGACUCCUCAUCGGAAAGCUCUCAUGUAUAAGUCGUCUCCUCCUCCCCGUGAUCGGAUCUCCAGGCCGUGGUAUCCGCCUCCGCCGUCGUGAUUCAGAUCCGGAGAAAAGAAGUCGUGAGCUUCAAUGGUGGAUUUUGGAGUUAUUGCACAUCUGGCCCCUCGUCUUUCGGCAGUUUAUGAAUUGACCCCAAAACUAUCAAAUGUGCAGAAAGGUCCCUCUGAGUCAACCCCAAAGCUUUUGAUUGUGCAAUCUAACCCAAGGGAAUAU
rnacentral:lncRNA from 1 species